ACGAUGAUCUCGGUAAAGAAGUAGAAGCAGACAAGUGCUGCCGUGCCCACGAUUUCUGCCCAGACUACAUAGCAGCCGGAGAAUCAAAACAUAACCUAACAAAUGGAGCUUCCUAUACUCGUUUAGACUGCCACUGCGAUAUGGAAUUCCGUGAUUGCUUACACAAAGCUAACACAACUACGGCAUCAGACGUCGGCGGAAUAUAUUUUGAUUAUUUAGGAACUCAAUGCUACAAAAAGGAUUAAGGAACAUCCCAUCGUGGGCUGUAAGAAAAUGAAAACCGGACUUUGGAGCAACAAAUGUCUGGAAUACGAGCUAGACGACACCAAGGAAUCUGUCUAUCAGUGGUUCGAUGUUCCUAACUAUAAUUGAAUAAUUUGAUUAAAUAGUCAAUUUAAUUCACCUUU